rnacentral:misc_RNA from 1 species
AACUCGAAGAAGCUCGCAAACGCGCCGCCCUCAUCGCCGCCUCUUCCUCCACCAGUACCGCCGCCGGUACCGGCGGAGCUGCCACAGCCGGUGUCUCCUCUCUCCUCCAACACUUCGACCGAUCAACAGUCGAUCCUUCCUCCAAAAACAACCGCAUCGGCCUCAAUUAAUGGAGGUUGAAGUGAAGCUCAGGUUGCCUGAUUCAUCAGCACAUCAGAAGGUACUCUCACUUUUCUCAUCGCACCACAAAAAAACACACCACCAGCGUAACACUUUCUUCGAUGGCGCUGCCGGCGAGUUGAGCUCGCGCCGGGCUGUUCUCCGGCUUCGAUUCUAUGAGAACUCGGAGAAAGUGAAAUGCAUGGUGUGUCUCAAGGCUAAAGCUGUAAUUAUCGACGGUGUUAGUCGAGUGGAAGAGGAUGAAGAGGAAUUAGAUCCGAAAAUUGGAUAUGAAUGCGUUUCUAACCCUAGAAAACUGAUGGAGGUAGAUUCUAGGGUUUUGAAAAGGGCAAGAGAGGAAUUUCAUGUUGGGGAAGAAGGGUUUAUUGGAUUGGGUGGGUUUAAGAAUGUGAGGAAUGUGUUUGAGUGGUGUGGUGUGGAAUUGGAGGUAGAUGAGACUAUGUAUGACUUUGGUACUUUUUAUGAGAUUGAAUGUGAAAGCUUGGAGCCAGAGAAAGUUAAAGCAAUGAUUGAGGCAUUCUUGAAGGACAAUGACAUUGAUUACAGCUAUUCAGAAGUGUCAAAGUUUGCUACUUUCCGGGCCGGAAAGUUGCCUUAGUUUACCUUCUAGAUGGUACGCCAUAUCUCGAAGGCUUGAAGUGUUCAUUGCCUCAGUAUUUUGCAGUUGAGUCUUACCAUCUCGCAUAUGUUUGGGACGAGACUUGACAAGCCUGAAAUAAUAUUUUGUGGUUUCCUAAUCACAUACGCUCUUGCUGAUAGAGUUUCUUAUGUAUUUUUGGGUUCUAUUUAGAACAUCAAUAUCUUCUAUUUGUGGAGAUGGAGUAUUUAGUAUUAAGCUUAAUGUUGAACUUUAU